AACACACGAGGCUUGACCUUCUUGUUGAAUGCUUUUUCACUCUCUGCUGAUAUGACUGACCAUGACACAUGGCAGUUGAUCUCUUCCUUUCGAUCGAAUUCAGCAUCAGCCAACUUGGGACUUUGAGGGUGCUAUUUUUUUUGUUUCUUUCUUUCUUUUUCUUUCUUUUGAUUUUGAUUUCUUUUGAUUUCUUUUGAUUUGGUUUUGCACCCUCCUCCUUCUUUUUCUUUUUUACUCUCCUUUUUUUUUUNNN
rnacentral:lncRNA from 1 species